GACGAACGCUGGCGGCGUGCCUAAUACAUGCAAGUUGAGCGAUGAAGAUUGGUGCUUGCACCAAUUUGAAGAGCAGCGAACGGGUGAGUAACGCGUGGGGAAUCUGCCUUUGAGCGGGGGACAACAUUUGGAAACGAAUGCUAAUACCGCAUAACAACUUUAAACAUAAGUUUUAAGUUUGAAAGAUGCAAUUGCAUCACUCAAAGAUGAUCCCGCGUUGUAUUAGCUAGUUGGUGAGGUAAAGGCUCACCAAGGCGAUGAUACAUAGCCGACCUGAGAGGGUGAUCGGCCACAUUGGGACUGAGACACGGCCCAAACUCCUACGGGAGGCAGCAGUAGGGAAUCUUCGGCAAUGGACGAAAGUCUGACCGAGCAACGCCGCGUGAGUGAAGAAGGUUUUCGGAUCGUAAAACUCUGUUGGUAGAGAAGAACGUUGGUGAGAGUGGAAAGCUCAUCAAGUGACGGUAACUACUCAGAAAGGGACGGCUAACUACGUG
rnacentral:rRNA from 1 species